GCUUACGGCCAUACCACCUUAGGCAUGCCCGAUCUCGUCUGAUCUCGGAAGCUAAGCAGGGUCGGGCCUGGUUAGUACUAGGAUGGGAGACCUCCUCGGAAGGUCAGGUUGCUGUAAGUA
ensembl:rRNA 5S_rRNA 5S ribosomal RNA